rnacentral:rRNA from 1 species
GAUGAACGCUGGCGGCGUGCCUAAUACAUGCAAGUCGAGCGAACAGAUGAGGAGCUUGCUCCUUUGACGUUAGCGGCGGACGGGUGAGUAACACGUAGGUAACCUACCUAUAAGACUGGGAUAACUUCGGGAAACCGGAGCUAAUACCGGAUAAUAUUUCGAACUGCAUGGUUCGAUAGUGAAAGAUGGCUUUGCUAUCACUUAUAGAUGGACCUGCGCCGUAUUAGCUAGUUGGUAAGGUAACGGCUUACCAAGGCAACGAUACGUAGCCGACCUGAGAGGGUGAUCGGCCACACUGGAACUGAGACACGGUCCAGACUCCUACGGGAGGCAGCAGUAGGGAAUCUUCCGCAAAGGGCGAAAGCCUGACGGAGCAACGCCGCGUGAGUGAUGAAGGUCUUCGGAUCGUAAAACUCUGUUAUUAGGGAAGAACAAACGUGUAAGUAACUGUGCACGUCUUGACGGUACCUAAUCAGAAAGCCACGGCUAACUACGUG